rnacentral:tRNA from 1 species
UGUAGCGAGGUGUUUUGCACACUGUGUUUUGGUCACAGAGGGGGAGUUGGUUCCAGCUACUU